rnacentral:rRNA from 1 species
GACGAACGCUGGCGGCGUGCCUAAUACAUGCAAGUUGAGCGCUGAAGGUUGGUACUUGUACCGACUGGAUGAGCAGCGAACGGGUGAGUAACGCGUGGGGAAUCUGCCUUUGAGCGGGGGACAACAUUUGGAAACGAAUGCUAAUACCGCAUAAAAACUUUAAACACAAGUUUUAAGUUUGAAAGAUGCAAUUGCAUCACUCAAAGAUGAUCCCGCGUUGUAUUAGCUAGUUGGUGAGGUAAAGGCUCACCAAGGCGAUGAUACAUAGCCGACCUGAGAGGGUGAUCGGCCACAUUGGGACUGAGACACGGCCCAAACUCCUACGGGAGGCAGCAGUAGGGAAUCUUCGGCAAUGGACGAAAGUCUGACCGAGCAACGCCGCGUGAGUGAAGAAGGUUGUCGGAUCGUAAAACUCUGUUGGUAGAGAAGAACGUUGGUGAGAGUGGAAAGCUCAUCAAGUGACGGUAACUACCCAGAAAGGGACGGCUGACUACGUG